rnacentral:rRNA from 1 species
UACGAGGGGUCCUAGCGUUGUUCGGAAUUACUGGGCGUAAAGCGCACGUAGGCGGAUCAGAAAGUCAGAGGUGAAAUCCCAGGGCUCAACCUUGGAACUGCCUUUGAAACUCCUGGUCUUGAGGUCGAGAGAGGUGAGUGGAAUUCCGAGUGUAGAGGUGAAAUUCGUAGAUAUUCGGAGGAACACCAGUGGCGAAGGCGGCUCACUGGCUCGAUACUGACGCUGAGGUGCGAAAGCGUGGGGAGCAAACAGG